UACGUAGGGUGCAAGCGUUUGUCCGGAAUCAUUGGGCGUAAAGAGCGCGUAGGCGGUCCGGUAAGUCCGCUCUGAAAGUCCGGGGCUCAACCCCGGGAGGCGGGCGGAUACUGUCGGGCUAGAGUCCGGAAGAGGCGAGUGGAAUUCCUGGUGUAGCGGUGAAAUGCGCAGAUAUCAGGAGGAACACCUAUUGCGAAGGCAGCUCGCUGGGACGCAACUGACGCUGAGACGCGAAAGCGUGGGGAGCAAACAGG
rnacentral:rRNA from 1 species